GACGAACGCUGGCGGCGUGGAUUAGGCAUGCAAGUCGAACGGUAGGAUACCUUCGGGUAUCUGAGAGUGGCGAACGGGUGAGUAACACGUAGGUGAUCUACCCUCAAGAUUGGGACAACCCAGGGAAACUUGGGCUAAUACCGGAUGAAAGCAGCAGUGAUGUUGUUUAAAAGGUGGCGUAAGCUGCCGUUUGGGGAUGAGCCUGCGCUCUAUUAGUUAGUUGGCGGGGUAAAGGCCCACCAAGGCGAUGAUAGAUAGGCGGCCUUAACGGGUGGUCGCCCACACUGGGAUUGAGAUACGGCCCAGACUCCUACGGGAGGCAGCAGUCGAGAAUAGUCUACAAUGGCCGAAAGGCUGAUAGUGCGACGCCGCGUGAACGAAGAAGCCCUUCGGGGUGUAAAGUUCUUUUAUAUGUGAGCAGUGCUUUCUAUGUGAACAGCAUGGGGAGAGAGAUAUUAGCAUAUGAAUAAGCAACGGCUAACUCCGUG
rnacentral:rRNA from 1 species